UUGUUCAUUUGUGGAAGACUCAGAUGGUACUAAAAUAACAAGAGUUUGUGGUUGGCCAGCGGCAGGCACCCCCCGCGAGGGGGGCGAGGCUCUGUCCCACAGGGCUGCCUGCCGAAGCACGGUGGACGGGUAGGUAAACAAUGGGUUGGGAGUGGUGACACUCUCGUAAUGAUCCCUCCGCUGGUUCACCAACGGAGA
rnacentral:misc_RNA from 1 species